rnacentral:lncRNA from 1 species
CAAAUCUAUCCUAAGAUUAAUGCAUUCACUUGUUCAAUCAAGUAAUCUGGUGCUCAUCUAGCAGAGACCACAUGUAUUACCACAAAGAAAAUAGUGCUCUUUCACAAAUCUCUUUUUUACAUAAUUGCAGUCAUACUCUCUUUGUAUUUAUGUCAUUAUUUCCACAUUCAAGAGUCAAGAGUCAUAUGAACGCAGACUACAAGGAUCAUUUUAUAUCACCUAGUCCAAUUGACUCAUAAAAUGUGAAAGUUGAUACAUUUUUUUAGACAGCUAACCUUAUUUGCCUAAGUGAUAGAUCUCAGCCUUAGACUAUCAAC